rnacentral:rRNA from 1 species
UGGGGAAUAUUGGACAAUGGGCGCAAGCCUGAUCCAGCCAUGCCGCGUGUGUGAAGAAGGCCUUCGGGUUGUAAAGCACUUUCAGUAGGGAAUAAAAGCCUGGUGAUAAUACCGCCGGGUCUUGACAGUACCUACAGAAGAAGCACCGGCUAAUUCCGUGCCAGCAGCCGCGGUAAUACGGAAGGUGCGAGCGUUAAUCGGAAUCACUGGGCGUAAAGCGCGCGUAGGCGGUUUGGUAAGUCAGAUGUGAAAGCCCUGGGCUCAACCUGGGAACUGCAUUUGAUACUGCCUGACUAGAGUGUGGUAGAGGGAAGUGGAAUUCCACAUGUAGCGGUGAAAUGCGUAGAGAUGUGGAGGAACACCAAUGGCGAAGGCAGCUUCCUGGACCAACACUGACGCUGAGGCGCGAAAGCGUGGGGAGCAAACAGGAUUAGAUACCCCCGUAGUCC